rnacentral:rRNA from 1 species
UACGAAGGGGGCUAGCGUUGUUCGGAAUUACUGGGCGUAAAGCGUAUGCAGGCGGAUCGUUAAGUCGGGGGUGAAAUCCCGAGGCUCAACCUCGGAACUGCCUUCGAUACUGGCGAUCUUGAGUCCGGGAGAGGUGAGUGGAACUCCGAGUGUAGAGGUGAAAUUCGUAGAUAUUCGGAAGAACACCAGUGGCGAAGGCGGCUCACUGGUCCGGUACUGACGCUGAGGUGCGAAAGCGUGGGGAGCAAACAGG